UCCUUAGGGCUCUUCCUUCUCCGGACUUCAUCUUCUGAUUUCCAGAGCAUGGCUCCCCAACCCUCCUCUUCACCUGGGUCAACAGGCCAACCCGAGCGCAGGAUUGCUUGGCACGGACAUCCCUUGGGUGGCCUCACUCUUAACUCCAACUCCCAACCCCAGUCACCUCUCCCCUCCCUCCCCGUGACCCUACUUUCCCGGGGUGGGGGCAGCACGACCCCCCAGGCUCCGGCUCCCUCUCUUCUUCCCUUCCUCCAAGCUGCAGCCAGGUCUUCCUCUGACCUGCUCCUCUCCAUCUCCCUCCUGUCCCAGCGCCCAGAACCUCCGCGGGGAUGGCUCCAGGGGCCCUCCCGCCUGGCCACGGGCCCCCCAGCCCGUGCACCUGCCAUCCUGCGACAUGUGCGGCCAGCCCCACGUCCCCGUAACAUCGCUGCCCUCCCCUUUAUCAAAAGCCCUUGGAAGCAGGCUCCGGUCCUACCUCGUCACUGACUGUCCCCUCUGUGGUGCCUUGCGUGUGGCUGGAUGCCUGGUCUCAUGGGAGAGGGUCCCCGGUUCGUUAUAAUUCUCUGAACGAAGUUUUGGCUUUUCCACGGGAGCCAAGCACGGCGGGACUUUGGUGUCUGUGGACCGUCUGCUCUGAGGUGUCUGCCCAGGUGUGAUGCAUUUUUCUCCUUAAUUCCCAAACUCUCUGUUUUUGAAAUCCGAGCAUAUAGCGGCUAUUCACGGGUCCAGAGGAAGGAACAGUGUCUUGGCCGUAGAAGGGUGUUCGAAUGAUGAUUUAGGCUCAUCAAAUGCUAUAUUCAAAGCCACCGGGCGGCGAGCCCCGUGCUCUCUCUCUACAAAGAUAGUAUCAGAAGGGAUCUCAGAGAUUCUCAGGCCCAGACUUCUGUCACGUGGGCUUGGUGGAAGAGGCCCUAGUCAUCCACAGUUGUGGUCUUUAAGGAAGCAGGUGAGAGACGCGUCCAGAAUUACCUACCUAUUGACUACCCGCCCUCCUCCUGGCUUUCUGCUGAAAUAAUCCAACAAAUGUAUCUGGGGCACUGCUGGAGCCGUCUAAACCCUUGCGCGGCCCCAGGGAGCCCUGGCACUGAAACCGUGCAGGACACAGGUGACCCGCAGACAAAGGCCACUUCGGGGAGUCAGACGGGCUCACUGCAGGGAGCACCCAUGGGAGCUGCGGGGAGCAGGGUCAGGUCCCCAGUGGCUUCAGUCUUCCUGGGGAGAUGGCUUCCACCCUCACAGCCCUCUCCCAUCGUCGCCCUGGACUGCCAAAGAAAAAUUCAAAUGCUGCUUUAAAAUA